GAUGAACGCUGGCGGCGUGCCUAAUACAUGCAAGUCGAGCGAACGGACGAGAAUCUUGCUUCUCUGAUGUUAGCGGCGGACGGGUGAGUAACACGUGGAUAACCUCCCUAUAAGACUGGGAUAACUUCGGGAAACCGGAGCUUAUACCGGAUGAUAUUUUGAACCGCAUUGUUCAAAAGUGAAAGACGGUCUUGCUGUCACUUAUAGAUGGUUCCGCGCUGCAUUAGCUAGUUGGUAAGGUAACGGCUUACCAAGGCAACGAUGCAUAGCCGACCUGAGAGGGUGAUAGGCCACACUGGAACUGAGACAGGGUCAAGACUCCUACGGGAGGCAGCAGAAGGGAAUGUGCAGCAAUGGGCGAAAGCCUGACGGAGCAACGGCGCGUGAGUGAUGAAGGUCUUCGGAUCGUAAAAAUCGGUUAUUAGGGAAGAACAGAUGUGUAAGUAACUGUGCACAUAGUGACGGUACCUAAUCAGAAAGCAACGGCUAACUACGUG
rnacentral:rRNA from 1 species